CAUCUUUUUUUUUAUCAAAAACCUUUGUUUUCUCUUUUCUUCUUGCUUGUCGAGUUGAUUGAGUGUUGGUGUGUAAUAUCCAACUUCUGGUGUGUAAUAUCCAGAGUCUAAGGGCUUCUUAUUUGGUGUGUCAUAUCGAGAUCAGUCGCCUAGGAGUAUCAAGAGAUCAGCCAUCCCUCUUGUGUCACCAUUCGAUCCACUAACCUUGAGAAACUUGAGUCUCUUAUCGCCUAGGAGUAUCAAGAGAUCAUCCAUCCCUCUUGUGUCACCAUUCGAUCCACAAACCUUGAGAAACUUGAGUCUCUUGAUUCGUUUCUGCAUGGACUAUACCAUCUGUUCCAGAGCAUCAUCCUAGGAUCUCAUUAUGUGGUAUCAGAGCAAUUCUGGAAGGGAAGUGUUUGAUUUUUCUCUCUGAUUUUCGUUUCGGUCUGUUCAUAUUCUGUCGAGUUUGAUCUGAUCUGUGUUCUUUGUGUUUAAAUCUGAUAAAUCUGAGAACUUUGAUCACAAGUCUGAGUGUAGUCUUUUCAUAAUCUUGUGGAGAAAGUUAUUAAUUUGUGUUGUCUUUGAAUCUGAUUAGAAUUGAAAGAGAUCGAUCUGUUUCUGAGAAUUGUGAAUCUGUUUUUUUUUUUGUGUUUUAAUCAUCAAAUCCAAAUCUGAAAUUGAACCUGAUUUCGGGAUCUAUCUUUGUUCUGAUUACGGUUUUAUUGUUUCAAUUUGAUUUGUGUCUGGUUAGGUUUGUUUUGUCAAUUUGAAUCUGCUUUGGAUCUGUCGAUUGAAGUUUGUUGAUCAGUUUCUGUUUGGUUUAUGAUUGAUCGUUUCUCUCUGUUGCUUCUGUUUGUUUCUGAUUAUCAAACUUGUUCUGAUUAUCAAUCUGAUUAAUUUUGGGUUGUUUGUCGAUUUGAAUCUGUUCUGGUUUAUUAUUGCUUACUUGUUUCUGUAAAUCGAAAAUCAAUCUAAUAUUUCUCUGUUGUAAUUCUGAGUGUUCUGUUUCCUUAGAACUUGUUACUGCUGUGUGUUGUUUUCUGUUUCAGGUACCAUGGCAGGAGAUCAAAAAGGAGAACCCAGCAAGGAAGAAAAAUUGAUGAUUGAAUCAUUCAAGGCCAGUAUGGGUCUUGUCCUCAAAGAUCAGAUGAGACAACUAAGACUGGACCUGCGACGGGAACUCCAACAAGCUUCUGGUCAGAGUCUUGAGCCUAGAAGCAGUGAGAGGAGACAAAGACGUGAUCAUGAAGGCAGGGGCAAUCACAGAAAUAAAUUUUCUCAUCAAAAGCUGAAAAUCCCUCCUUUUCAUGGCAAGGCUGAUCCUGCUNNNNNNNNNNNNNNNNNNNNNNNNNNNNNNNNNNNNNNNNNNNNNNNNNNNNNNNNNNNNNNNNNNNNNNNNNNNNNNNNNNNNNNNNNNNNNNNNAAGAUGGAGUUGAUUUUCAAAUGUCAAAGCUAUGCUGAAGUAAAGAAGGUUCAAAUAGCCACUGCUGAGUUUUAUAGUUAUGCUUCAAGCUGGUGGAAUCAAUUGGUGUCGUCUAGGAGACACUAUGUAAAAGAACCAGUUGCAACCUGGCUUAAAUUAAGGGCUUUGAUGCGUCAUAAGUAUGUUCCAAGACAGUACCACAAGGAAGUACUUCAAAAACAGUCUUAAACAAAGCCAUGCUCUGCAAACUCAGUACAGGAACAACAAGGCAGAAUGAGAUCAAGUUCAUCCGGUGUUAUUGGUUUACCUAGCAAGACAACAAGAUGGUUCAGUGAGGGGGACAUAAAGAAGCGGUCUCAAGUGAUUAUGGAUGUUGAGAAACAACUCAGAGAGACCCACACCACACGUACAACCAUAGAAGAACAAAACCAAGAGUCAAUCACUUCAGUCUCAGAACUUAAUUCAGCAGAGCCGGUAUCAGCUGUGCCUAUUCAAGAAGAGCAAGCCAAAGCAACAUCACCUAUCUUUAAUAAAGAAGAGCAGCCUGGUCAGAACGUCAUUGUUCCUUUCAAACAAGACAUGGUAGCAGAGGAGAUACCCAGGGAACCACAGAGAGCUCACAGAAUGAAUCAACUAAUUGUCUUUGAUCCAUGUGAUUUUCAAAAGACCUUCUUAGGUCAGACUAUUUUGAGGUCUACACUUUUCGAAAAGAAGGGUUAUAAUGACCAGAGUAUCAAUGAUGAGUCCUUGGCUAAGUUGGCGAAGCAACAAGCAAACCUUGAAAACUGUCUAGCCGCCAACUUUGACAUAGGAGCAGUCCAAGGAUCAUAUCUCAACAACCAAAGGGAUGAAAGCAACAAACUCGACUUCCAUGGAAACUUAACUCAUCAGGGACUCACGGCGAAUUGGAAUCAUGUCUAAAGCUUCUCAGGGGAAAGAGNNNNNNNNNNNNNNNNNNNNNNNNNNNNNNNNNNNNNNNNNNNNNNNNNNNNNNNNNNNNNNNNNGAAAGAGUUAUGGGUUCUAGAAGUCGGGUGAACCUGUGUUUGCUUUGUUUGAAUUUUUCUGAGUUUAGAACAUCUCAAUCCUAUCUAUGGCGACCAGGUGAGCAUGCUAAGGUAACUAAUCAUGUUUUCAAGAGUUCUUUUAUUGAUUACACAGAUAUGAUGCACUUGUUUUUGUCAAAAGAGCCAUGUACAGAUUAUGAUGAAGCUUUGAAGCAUACAAGGAGAAAGAACAAGCGUGAGGAAGACAAGCGUUUCAAGCCACCUGAUCUGAACCAGGAGAGACAUCAGGACAUUAAUUGAUUCAUCCUCAUCAAAGAAGCACCUCCAGAUGCAGCAUACAAGCCAAAACCGAGCAAAAACCAAUUUGGGAUAAGACUCUUACUCUUUGAUAAAUUUUCAUGUGCUAACUGGUUUUGUUUCAAUGUAUCAGGUUUAAGGAAUGCAUCAAGUAGAACCAAACGGAUCAGUCCCUCCUACAUAAUCGAACCAAUCAGAAAUAAUGCCUAUCAAAGAGGCUUGCAAGGUAAGUGUAAUCUGAUUUUAAACUUUGAUAUUACUGACUCGGCCCCCUCUAUUGCAGGUAAAGCAGAUUUCAGGACAAAUCUUUUUGAAGAGGGAGGGGAUGAUGUGAUCAUGGAAAGCACCAAGGAAUGGAAGUAUUAACCUGAUCCUGAAGAGAUUGUAGCUGAGUAGGCAACAUUGAAGAAUGCUUGGAAACAAGAAGUAUACAUUAGUCUUGGCCGAAGCUUGAUCAUCCAAGACACCUUAACCAUCAUUCAAGCUACUUCACUUUCACGCUGAUCAUCAUCUAGGCAAGUAGCUUGUGUGUGCUCUUUUCCUAACCUUUGGUUUUGUCCCACUGGGUUUUCCAAAGGAAGGUUUUUAACGAGGCCACAAGUCUACUUCUCCUAUCUCCUAGAUGAUUGAUCUUGGUCUGUCCACAUGAAGACCUUAUGUUAUAUUUUUUAAGCUAUGCUUUCAUAUUAUUUAGUUUUCGAAAACUCUAGUCUUUGUUGUGUUUCCAAGGGAGCCUUUGUCUUUAUUUCCCUUGUAUUUUCGAGACCUUGUGCAUGUACAAGGCUUCUCCUUUAUAUUCUGGUCGUGACCCCCCUUGUAGCAUGAUCCAUCUUUUUUUUAUCAAAAACCUUUGUUUUCUCUUUUCUUCUUGCUUGUCGAGUUGAUUGAGUGUUGGUGUGUAAUAUCCAACUUCUGGUGUGUAAUAUCCAGAGUCUAAGGGCUUCUUAUUUGGUGUGUCAUAUCGAGAUCAGUCGCCUAGGAGUAUCAAGAGAUCAGCCAUCCCUCUUGUGUCACCAUUCGAUCCACUAACCUUGAGAAACUUGAGUCUCUUGAUUCGUUUCUGCAAGGAUUAUCCCAUCUGUUCCAGAGCAUCAUCCUAGGAUCUCAUUACUAAAGAUGGAACCUUCUAAAGAUAGUUUCACUUUCGUGGAUAACUCCCAAGCAAACUCAGCAAGCAUGAUCAAGGAUGUUAAGGUGGAGAUAGGGGAAUGCAUUAUCCCUGUGGACUUGCAUGCUGUGGAUAUCAAAUCAGGCAAAACAUCUUCACUUCUUUUUGGAAGAGCUUUCAUGGCUACAGUGGGGGCAGUUUGUGAUCUUAAGAGAAAUAAGAUGUGUCUGACUAAUGUUGACGAAACUGUCUUCUAUGUUCCCAUGGAAAAGAAGAAAAGUAAGGAGCUUAUUUCAUGCAUAUAGAUGCUUAAAGAUCCAGGACCUGCAGCUGAUUCAAAUUCGUGAGCCUGCAAAAACCAGAAUCAGCGUCAGUCGACAUUAGAAUUGCAGCAUCGGUCGACUUUCAGCCCUCAGAAUCGAUCGACAAUCAGCCUUCAGCAUCGGACAACUUCCAGUCUUCAGAAUCGAUCGUCGCAAAGCUUUCAGCAUCGAUCGACGCCCUCCGAGUUUUAGAACAGUCCGAGAGUGAAAAGUCUAAGUUUGGGGGAACAACCAGGAAUAGGAAGAAGAAAAAGAAAAGGAAUGCAGAUGCAGAUUUUCUAUCAGUAGUUCCUGUGCAAUGUCAAGAGGGUAGUCUUGAGUAUAGAGUGCGCUGCAGAGGAGGUCAUGAACCUUUUACCAAGUUUAGAGUGCUAUGUGAUCCAGAGCUGGGAGAGAAAGGAGAAGUUUCUGCAAGAGCUUUUAUCAACUGCAUCAACAAAAUGAGGAAGAGAGACAUAAAGACUUGUUUUGGAGCAAGUUUUCAUCCUCAUCCAUACUAAAUCAGAUCACCAAAGUCAAGCUAAAUGACUAUAACAAAGCGCUGAGUGGGAGGCAACCCACUGUUAAGUAAUUUUAUUUGGUUUUAUUUUAUAUUAUUACUGAUUUUCGUUUUUAAUUAUAAUGGAGACCCAAGGAAAAUAGUUGAUAUACCAGCAUCGACCGACAUCUGAUCAUUGACGGCCGCCACCACUUCACAUGAGCAUCGUGCGAUACCUGAUCAGUGUCGCUCGACAGCAAAUCAACAAAAUCGAUCGAUCGCCACUUAACUGUGUUGAUCGACAUUCACAUCCACCAAGCAGGUAUAUCGUCUUACCUUGUUAAUUUCGUACUUAUGAUUAAUUUCCCCACCAAUCUUAGACUAUAUAACAUUCGAGACAGUGUUAUUUAAGUCUGGGGGAGGUUCAACUAAUAUUAUGUUUUAGUUAGCUAUAUAAAACAAAAAGAUCCGAGUAGACGAUUGCCCAGCAUAUCGACCGAUGAGAGCAUAUCGACAGUACAUUACCUACAGCGACCGAUGGUAUCUCCUUUCCAUCGACCGACACUUAAUCUGGUCAGAUAUAUCGUUCUAACUUGUCAAAUUGGGUACUUAUGUUUAUGUUCUCACCAAAAUUCGAAUGGAUAUACACUGGGGACAAUAUAAUUUAAAUCUGGGGGGAGGUUUACCGAUAUCUAGUUAUUGUGAGUCUUAUCAAAUGUUUUCAAAAAAAAAAGAGUGUUGUUAUCAAGUUAAGAAGGGGAUUAUGAUCAAAUACAAUUUUACUUACUCUCUAACCGCUCUCUAGCACCAUUCUUUGAGUUUAUUGACUGCAGGGUGUACUGAAUAGAAACGCCAAAGUGGAUUACCUGCUAAUAACAUCCAUGCUCGCUGAGAAAGUCUGAAGGAACCAAAGCUGACUUCCAACCUUAAUCAACUGAACUUGCUUGUCUUGGGGUUUGGUAUACAUCGGAUCGGAUUCCUCUUUCAGGUCUGAAAGGUCUAAGUCUGUAAAUUUUUGGUUUCCUUCUCUCCUCUUUUUGGCAUCCAAAAAGAAAGAAAAAGAAAAGAUUGAAAUGAUUGAAAUGAUUUCUUGCGGUUUAGAGGGGUAGGAGUGUCUCAUGUGACCCCAUUAUUCUUCUCUAAUGGAAUGAUCACACAUCGUUGGCAACGAGGGGUAGGUACAUUACCGAUGACCCCACUAUCAUCUACACUUUUCCAAGACAAGAAAAAAAUGUAAAGAAAAGUCGAAAAGAAGAUGAAUAAGAUGGACUGCGCCAGGAUCAUUGUUCAUUGGAUUUGAGAUAAAAGGAUUCAGAGAAGAGAGAUAUAGGGAGAAAAGAAACCAGAAUAAGACUACCUGUUUACUUAGAUACCUGCUGGGGUAAGAGUCCAUGUGUCCUUUGAUUGAUACUCACAAGAUUUAGCCUACACAUUUAUAUGCAGAUAUGAGGUCAGUAGAGGGGUAUGUCAGGCGGAAUCAACUAAGCAAUGGGCUGGAUGGUUUGGUUGCUAAGCUAAGGUCUAGUACAUGAAGUGCCUCUAAAGUUGGCACUAAUCUGAUGUGGCUUGCAACACUGCAGAGGUAAAAGUAGUAAGUUUAAAAUUUUGUGUGUCCAUGAUAUUUUCAAACCUCUUUCACAUGACUACUAUAUGUUUUGCUUGAGAACAAAUAAAAGGGUAAGUCUGAGAGAGUUGAUAUAGGUGUUUUAAGAUAUCUUUACUACAAUACAUAGUAUAUUUAGAGUAUUUACAGGUUCAGGGACGAUUUGGAGGAAAGUGGUGAUUUUGGUGUCUUUUGGAGCAUUUGGAGUGCAGAGCUGCACAGACGCAUCAGAUAUUUAGCUAUAGAUGGAGACCUUCCCACCGUUAGAUGGAGCCCAUCGUUUGACACAUGAUAGAGCUUUGAGUUAGCUUUCCAAUGCCACCAGUCUGAGGUCAAUCAGCAUCAUGUAGCAGACGUUAUGCCCGUUUUACUGAAGAGUGGUCUGUAUGUCUCGCGAGAGGAGGCUGUCGAGGAGAUGAAGGACUGUCGAUCGACGGUGCACCCUUGCCAUCGAUCUACGGUGAUGCCAGAAUAUUGGCCAAGCAUAUUUUAUGACCGACUGAAGCCCAAAAGCCACACCAAGUUACCAAAAUACCCAUAGACAACCAGAAACCAUAUUUAUGUAUUUCUAACCCAUUGUUGACGGCUACGAGCUUUCUAUUUUUUUCUUAGGUUUGGAGAGAAGAUCAAUUCUCCUUCAGAGAUUGAUUGGAACUCCAUUGGUUUUAUCAUUGAUUUCUUUAUCGAUUAUAUUAUUCAGACUAUGAUUUGUGUUAUUGAUUUUAUGUCUGAGUAAUCAUCUUGUUAGGUUUAGGGAUUUCAUGAGCUUAAUGUCAAACUGAUAAUCAAUUAGGAUUGCUAGAUUAUCUAUAGAUCUCUACACCAGGGUGAUUUGUAAUACUAGGAUCUGGAAUAGUUGGAAUAGAACGACAGUGUGACUAAUUGUUUGAAUCUAGAAUCAUAGGAUAGUUGAGAGGCACAAAAGUGCAAUCAAUUAACGGAACCCGAACUCUGCUGGAUUAGAUAUCUAGGUGCAUACGAGAGUUGGUCUAGAAAUCUAGUUGAACUUAAUCGAUUAGGUCGUUAAUGCUUGUCUAAGGAAGAAUCGAUCGACGCUUUGGCCAUAACAUCAAUCGACGCUCGAUUCAAGUCAACAAGCGACAGCUGAGACUGGACUUAGACAUCUGAUUAGUAAUUACAUGCGAAAGCUGGAUACUUACUUAUUAAAAUCAUGUUCUAGAAUUGAAUCUAUAAACCAUUAGCAUCUUUGAAUUGUAGUUUUUAAUCUCUUUAUUGAUAAAUCCCCAAGUCCAGCUAUUUCUCCUAAUUGUUUACAACCUCAAUCAACCAAUCGAACAACUACUUUGUUCACCUUGCUUUCAUUUAUUUACUGCUUUAUAAACUGUUUGCCUACCCUAAUCUUGAUUUCUAUAGUCUAUUGUGUGCCCUAGCUCUCUGUGGAUUCGAUCCCUAAGUGCUACAACUCGACCUCUGAUUUGAGAGAGUAUAAAUCACUCCUUAGGGUAAUUUGAGUGAUAUCACAUGGUUGCGACACUAGUUCUAAUUCAGCACGCGACUGGAAACAUGCAUGACCAGGAGGGUCAUCUGCGUAAUGCAGCAGGUCAGAAGAUAGAUGAUCAGGGGGCUGUAAUCCCUGAUACUGAUGCUGAUAUUGCAGCUGCUACACCGAGGACAUUAGCUGAUUACAACAGGCCAGAUCAGUACUACGAGAACAGAUCUGCCAUCCGUCCUCCAGCCACACAGAGGUAAGACUUUGAGUUGAAGCCUCAGUACUUCACACUCGUUGGACAUACAUCCUAUUGUGGGUUAUCACACGAGCAUCCUAUGGACCAUCAGGAAAGGUCUGAGGAUCUAGUUUCUGCUAUUAAAGCCAAUGGAGUCCCUGAGGACUACCUCUUUUGCAAGCUCUUCAAGUACUCACUUGCUGGAGAGGCUUCGCACUGGCUUAAGCAGCUACAACCAGGAUCUCUCACAUCAUGGGCCGAUAUCAAGAAUGCAUUCUUAUGCCACAUCUUUGAUGAGGCACGGGCUGAAGACUUGAGGAGUAAGAUUGCUACAUUCACACAUGUGCCUACAGAGUCAUUCAGAAGCUCCUGGAUCAGAUUCAAAUCAUAUCAGAGAGACUGUCCACACCAUGGAUUUAAUGAAGUGCAGCUGCUCAGUACUUUCUUUAGAGGCAUCGCGCUGGCAUAUCAGAUGGCUCUAGACUUAGCUAGUGAUGGAAAUUUCAACACUAGGAAUCCAGAGGAGGCUGUGAGACUUAUUGAGAACUUGGCAUCCAGCAACAUCACCAAGAACACUGAUUUCUAAUGAAAAAAAUCGGUCCAUGCCCUAGGGAAGGAGUAGUUGGAAGAUGUUAAGGCUAGGCUGGAUAGUGUUCACAAGCUUCUCAAGAAACAAGUUAGCUUUGCAAAGGAUGUAGAGGCUGUAGAUGUCGACAAUGCCAAGGACGAAAAUGAGGAUGUGAACUUUGUCAGUGGUUCAGGCUUUCAAAAUCAGAGGUCUGGAAAUCAGAGUGGAUACAAAAACUCAUAUGGCAAUUGUCAGAAGAGUGGAUACAACCAGAGUUCACAGUACCAAAAACCCUACAACAACAACUACAACAGCAGCAACAAACCUUAUGGAAGUUCUUACUAUCAAAAUCAACUGCCGAAAACUCGAGAGAGAAAGAUAGAGUCCAUGCUUGAUCAAGUUCUUGAGGGUCAGCAGAAGUUAAUAGUGAACUUCAACAGAAAGAUUGAUGAUGUCUACACAGAGCUGAGCUCAAAAUGUAUUUCCUUGAACACACAUGUGAGGAAGUUGGAGACACAAGUGGUUCACACAGGAGACACUAUUAAAAGGCAGGAGGCCUUCAUGAAGGGUAAAGGGGAUAACUCACUGAAGCACCACGUGAAUGCCAUCAUGGAUGAUGAUUUCUAGCAAGUGGUUAAGGGGAAGAAGCUUCAGGAGAGAGACUUCCAAGUCGAAAGCUCCAUGAGUUUUGGCGGUUCACAUUGGUGUCGAUUGACGCCAAGUCACGAACAUCGACCGACGGAGAAGGACGAGCAUCGAUCGACUUCAGUUUCUCAACAUCGAUCGACAAAGGAAGUUGCAUUAUGCGUGACCGUGAGAAUUCUGACUCACGAGGAGUUCGCGGCUAAACACCCACACCCACAUCCACCCAAACCCUUACGAAUCAAGAAGUCAGACGUCGAUCGACACCAUAACCUAGCCGCCGAUCGACAAACAGACUCCACCAACGAUCGACACGAACCAUCCAGCGUCGAUCGACGACCACCUUUGACCUACCGAGUGCAGCUACCAAAAAUAGAUGUAGCACGCCUGAAUGCUAUCAAAAACCCAUGUGUGUUCAGUGACUGAGAAUAAGAGAGAAGAGAGGGAGGAAAGGAACUGGAUAAGACUACAUGUGUGUUCAGAUACUUACAUGAGUUGAUUCCAUGUGUUCAGUGAUCGAUACUCCCAAGGUAAAGCCUACAUGUUUUCACUACAUGUACUAAAUGAGGUCAGUAGAGGGAUUAGUCAGACAUGAUUUGCUAAGAUGUUAAAUGAAUGGAAUUGGUUACCAAACUAGGAUAUUGCAUAUAAAGUAUUUUUAAAAGUUGAGAUUGAUUUGAUGUGGUUGCAAUAUUGUUGAGGUGGUGAUAGUGAGUUCUUAAAUUAUGUGAGUCCCUAUUGUACCAAAAACACCUGUCAGAGAGACUGCUCAUUGUUUUGCUUGAGGACAAGAUCCAAUAACUCCUUCAGAGAUUUGUGAUUGGAACUCUAGUUUAUCUACUCUAUUAUAUUUUAUGCAGUUUUCAAAUCUCUUUGUUAUGAAUUGCUUAGUUAUGUCAGAGUAGUUCUUCUUGUUAGAUUUAAGGUUUAGAUAUUCAUGAGGGAUUAACACAAAAUAUAGAAUUGCUAAGUGUCAGGAAUAUUAAUAAACUAAAUUGUUCUUAAUGCAUGUGUUCUAGAGUAGCUAAAUAGGACGUGGCCUUAAGAUAGUAGGGCGCAAGCGGAAGUUUGGUUCUCUGUCUUAUUAGUGUAAAAUGUGCUAGGAUUGCCAGAAACAAGCGGAAGCUGAUUUAGUUAAACCUAGUGAACACGUAAAACUCGUGCGAUAACGCUCCUUGGAAGGUUCAUCGAUCGACAACUCACUAAUUGCAUCGAUCGAUGGACUGAAAGGUGUAUCGAUCGACACCCCGUUGUUGGAAUCGAUCGACACUUUCUCAGGACCAAUAAGCGACAGCUGAGGUCCUAGAUCCGGUGAUAGAUAGUCUAAAUAUACGAAAGUUGAUUGACUAUUCUUAUUGUUUGAGUUCCAGAAUAUCCAUAUUUGCUUAGUAAUCUAUAUCUCUAUAAUCAUGAUUGUUUGAAUAGAAACCCUAAUUCAAACGUUUCUCAUAUCUAUCUUAAAACCCCAAAUCAAUCAAUCGAAUAAUUACUUGUUCACCCCUGUUAUUUACUGCUUUAAAACCUACUUACCUAGCUUAACUACAUAACUAGAUAGAUCUAUUGUGUGUCUUAGCUCCCUGUGAAUUCGAUCCCAAAAUAUUACAAAUGAACCUCUUAUUUGAGAGAGUAAAUCACUCCUUAGGGUAAUUUUGAGUGAUAUCAUCCACCUAGAUUCUAAGUUCUAUUAGUCUUAUCGGAGAUUUGGGUUUUCCUCUUUUUCAUUGUUCUCUUCUUCUCCUUGUGUCUUCUAAUCGAAAGUUUAUUUGGCUUUUAGGAAUUGCCACUUUCAACUCAAUAUCAAAUAAAUUUGCAAAGUUUGAUUCUUAUGGGUUAAUUUUCAACGAUAAUCUGACAAGAAUAUCGAGCCGAGGAGAGAUUACAACGUCUAAGUAUCUGUUCUCGUUUCUUCGAACCGCUGGUUUUACUAGAACGACCAAGUGCGCGUCGUACAUUAUUGGAAAUACUAUUAAAUGUUUAUGAGUAGAUGUUUUUGACUCAACGUGUAAGAAUUUCGUAAACUGGAUUGGGUCUUUCGUUUCGAAGGAACUUUACGAAAUCAUUGAAACAAAGUGAGGAGAAGCAGAUGAUCAGGAAAAAUAAGCAAUGAACUCGAUGUCAUCCGAGUGAGGUGCACAGUUCGUCAAGUUGUGAGCGAACUAGUCCUGUCCUAGCCCUUAUUGUCUGUUGAUCGUUUCAUAUGAUCUUGUUUGACUUCUCGAAGUUUGUCGAACUGUUUUUUCGAGUUUUAUUUACGGGAAUCGUUUCGCAAGUGUGGUCAAAUUUAAUUUGAGGGAAGUUAUCCCACAAUAAUGUUAUUAUGAAAGCUGUUUCAUAAAAUGUCGUCGAGUGAAAGUCAUUUCGUAAAAUAUUGUCGAGUUUGGCUGUACGAGAGCCCUUUUUGGAAAACUCACGUUUUGCGGCUUUUCCGAAAAUCUAGUUUCUAUCUAGUUUCUGAGUUUUAAUAUCAGAAACUCUAGCUGCGAUGAGCUUAAUUAUCGUGAGCAAAUUUAGUCAAAAAUUUUCUCGUUUCCAUCGGAUUGAUCCUAGGGAGUUUUGAGUACUUUUUCCAUAGUAAGCUUAUUAGAAAAAUAUCGUAAAUUCACAAAAUAUGUUGCUGCUGAAGUGACGCUUGAAUUUUUUUGAAAUCUUAUGUUUCAGAAGACGUUCUAGCAGUGAGGGAUAUGAUCUUCAGUUUUGCUUUGUUUAAUCUUCGUCAGCUAGUUUAGGUUUCAAGUGAUUCUAAAGAAAUCAACUUCGUUUAUCAGAAGUUACUCGGAAGAAGUACAACAGUGGGAUUGGCAACCCAAUUUGUUGUGCUUCUAUUUCCACUUCGUUUAUUCAAAAAUUCUUAAACCAAUAACAAUAGAUUCUAUUAAGAUUUUUGAAAUCCAAGAACUAAUAACAAAGAAAUUUCAAAAUUUUCAAAGUUCACGAGAAUUCACUUUACCAAUAACCCCUUUAAUAAAAUAGCAUUAUUUUAAAACUAAUUUUGAUAUAUAAAAAAAUUUCUCUUUUAUUUGUAUUUUUUAUUUUUAGAAAAUUAAAAACCACGUCACUAUUUAUUUCGUAACUAAAGUAUGCACAAAUGUUUCGUAACUAAAACAUGGUUAUUUAGCCAUGAUUGUGUCACAGUAGAAUCGUAGAUGAAAAGUCUCAAUUUAGAAUGGUUACAAAUGUAUAAGCACAUUUUUUUAUUUUAUGGCUUUUUUUGGCUAAACUUACGUAUAGCCAAAAACAUUGGUUUAUAGCAGUGUUUUGAAAUCCGACUAGAACAUGCGGUUGAAAUGGUAGGGCCGUUAACUCUAUAUCUAAUCAGAUUUUUAUUUUUUUUAAAUCCAUUAUUUAUAAACCUGAUAAAACCCGCAGAGAACCGUUAAAUCCGUGAACCCGGCCACCCGCUGAAAUACUAGUUGACCCAAUAAAUACCUUUUACUUUUUUCUCUUAGAUUUUUUAGUUACUUUAUUAAAUAUGUUUUGUGCUCUAAAUAAAAAUGAGGUUUUCUCUUUUUAACUAUCGUCUUUACUGUCGACUUUGUAUAUCCUUCUACUUAUUUUUAAUUUAUUUUUUGUUUAUCGUGAAUCUCACUUACAAUACGACUUUGAUGAAGAUUUCACUAUGCCACAUGACGAAAAUGAAUUGAACGAUGAUAGAGAGAACAAAAAUUAGUUGAUGUGGUUAGGUAUUAGUUUAAUUUUGUUAUUCGCAUUAGACAUUUAAAUACUUAGAGUUUUUAAGUUUUGAUGUUUUUAUUGUCAUAACUCAUAAUUUGUUACAAAGUUACUAAAUAGUCUAAAUUAUUUUUGAUAUUUUUGAAUGUGAAAUAAAAAUAAAGAAUAAAGAAAACUAAAUUUAAGUAUUUUCUAUAUAUUUUAAAAACUUUUACAGUAAUAAACAAAGAAAAAUAAAUUUAAGUAUUUUCUAUAUAAUUUAAAAUAAUAUCUUUGUGCCUAGAUACAUACAUUCACGUCUUCUUUUUCGAUCUGGCCACGAGUUAGUUUUAGUUUUCUUCGUCUCCUUCUUCUAUUUUAUCUUUGAUCCCUCAUCUGGAGUCUUUGGUUGUAUCACUUACCCUUUUCUUUGUAGGUAUAAUUUUUUGAAAGCCGUAAGCUUCCGAUCUGUUUCUUCUCCCAUUUCUAAUUGUAGAUAUAAGGCCAAGGUGAGGACUUAUAUGAUAUAUUCUUCAUUUUUUCAUUAUCGCUUCAUAGUACGAGUUUCUAACUAAAUCAUUUGUACCUUCGUGUUAUUUAUAAGCAUACGUGUAGUUGUUUUAUAAAUGAACUAUAUCAUAUAUAUACACAUAUAUAUAUUGCAUUGUAAUGUGUAAACAACUGGAUCUACUUAUAGGUUGCUAAAACAAAUAUAGUUUAUGAUGAUUAAGACUUGUAUGUGGGUGUUUGCAUUGUUUGGGAAUAUGGCAUGUGUGAUUGGUAUAUAUAAGUUAGAGAAGGUCAUAAGGUGAUGCAAGCAUGGUCGAGCUAGAAGAUAAUUUGAAAUUGAUUCAACCCCGUGGAUGCAACUAUGUGGAUGCCAAACUGGUGGAUGCAGAAACUCGUGGAUACAACUCUAUGGAUGGAACUGAGUGGAUGCAACAAUCAAGUAACUAUGAAGCAGAUUUGGAGCUAAAUGGACUCGGUGAUACUCAGACUCGGACCCAAACUGAUGACGGACCAGACAUGACUUUCUCAACCGAAACCAAUCAAGACAAGGAUCCAUUCUGCUUGUCUAAGGGCCCAGUUACUAGAUCACAAACCAAAAGACUGAAAAAAUCAAUUGCUGCUUUGUUUCACUCUGAAACAGACGGAAAUCAAGCCAAGGAACCGAGCCAACUCUUCACUUACUCAGUCUUUGGACUGGUCUAAGUGUUAUUUCAAAAUCUAAGUCUUAUUACUUUUAUUUUCGAUUUUAUUAAGUAUUAGGACCUUUCAACUUCUUUUCCUUCUUUGUUGCUACUUAAACUCUCUUUUGUUUCUGAAAAACCUAAUCACUUUUUUUUAUCAAAACUUUCUUCGAAACUUGUGAUUCCUUUGUUCAGUUCUUGAGCAUUGAUUGCCUAGGAGGUGAUCUCCAUAAGCACCUGUCUUGUUCACUAGUGGGGUUGCCCUCACGGACUAAGGCAUCAAGCAAGUGUUUGAUCAAUCAAUAGAUCUCACACUUAAGUUCAUCAACCAUCUCGACAUCUACCCACAGAUCCAUCAUCUCUUCAUAAUCAGAUCAGUGUUAGUAACCUGAUCCUUCAUCAAAUCGGUUCUGUUUGUGCUAGUAGCAUUCAGUAUCUUCACAACCCUAAUAAUCCGAUCCUCAAGAUUAUUCAAGGGACUGCAUCCUCAUCUGGAUUGCAUUAAGUGGUAUCAGAGCAGAUCUGAAGGCUCUUGAUCUGGGUUUGAUUCUAAAACUUCUCUCUUUGUUUUUGGGAAUCUGUUUUCUAUUCUCUGCAAUUUUCCCUGCAAUUUUCUCAGAAAUCUCUUAUCUUUCUAUAUGUAUAAUCUGAAAGAGGGCCAACCAGAUUAAAAAAAAAAAAAAAAAAAAAAAAAAAUAAAGUUGAAGAGAAAUCCAACUUGGCUGAAGAGAAAUCAAGCCCUGGUGGUAAUGCCUCUUGUAAUCUGUCUAUAUCUUUCUUAUGUUUUGGGGUUGGGAUUUGUUCUCUGAAUUUUGAUCUUUUUUGUUGCUGAGCUACUUGAUUCACAGAGAAAAGUCACAAAAAAAUUCAUAGAAAAAUCAGAGAGAACCAGAAGAGAAAAGUGAGGCUUCUGCUAUCUGUUAUUGUGCUAAUUUUUCUUGUUGAGAUUGUAAAAAAAAACAAUGGCUGGAGAUGUUAGUAAAAGAAAGGAGGCACCAACUCUGAAAUUGAAUAAAUUUCAGAUGGAAGCAAUUAUGUUUGAGAUCAUGAAAAUUAUGAAAAAGACUGAUCUUUUACAAAAGAAACAUGCUGAUGAUUUCUUUGGUAAUGUUUCUCAGUUUCAGAACGAUGCUAAGAUCAAAAGAAAGAGCACGAUACCAUCUUUCUGUGGAAAAAAUGACCAUGAUGGCUAUUUGGAGUGGGAAUAGAAAAUGGAACUUGUCUUUGAUGGCCAAAACUACUCAGAAAGAAAGAAGGUUAAAUUGGCUACAACAGAGUACUGUGGUGAUGCCAUUCAGUGGUGGGAUCAGCUUGUUACUACCAGAAUAAGAACAGGAGAAACACAAGUUGCAUCCUGGUUUGAGCUGAAACACUUCAUGAAGAAACACUUUGAUUCUGGUAACUACAGCAAUAGACAACCAAGACAGGCCAAAGAGGAGACAAGACCUUGCCAUGAUCAUAAUCACCCAAGAAAGUCUCAGUCAAAUAAGCAAAGAAAGCCAGACCCACGUCCUCUCUCAAGAGUCAGUGAGCAACUGAUUUCUACAAAGGAAUCAGCUAUCCAAAAGCUAAAAACAGAGCCAUCUAAGGUAAGUACAGAACCUGAGACAGAAAAUGAGUUUUCUCUUUUCUCUCCUCAGUCUGAACUUGUUCUCAACAAAACAUGUGAUCAACUAACUUGUUUUGAACCGGUGCAUCCGAGUAGCCUUGUUUCAGGGUCUCAGGUCUUAGAAGAAAACUCAGCAGAAGAAGCACAAACGAGUUCACCACCAGACGAAGUGUUGGAGAAGCCAAACAACAUUGAAGGAAAAACAGAUGCUAAGUCAUUCUCUCUGAACUCUCAAGAGCACUGUAAGGUCUUGAUAUGGUUAAUUUUGUGCCUGACAUGUUUGUUAUGGUCUCUUCUAGUGAUGUAAAAUUUUUUGGUCUUGAAAGAGUAAAAUAAUUUUGUGUUUCAAACUCUGUUUUUGAUAACAUGAUUUAUUCUUUUAAGAAACUUGAACCAGAUAAAUUUUCUGAUCAAAAACAUUUUAACUGUGAUAAUAACAUCAAUCCUGGUCUUGUUUUGAGUUUUGAUCAGUUUAUGGAAGACUAGUGGUGUGCCCGCGCGGGUCGUAUGACAUUUGAGAUCUUAAAUUUUGUUAGUUUUUUGCUUGUUUAUUGUAUAAUUUUUUUGAAAACCCCUAGUGGGUUGUAUGCUCCAUUGCAAGGGCUUUACAUUGUUGCUUUUAUCCAAUCUUGUUGAAAUAAGUAGGACUAAUUUAAAAAGAAAAAAUCAAUGACUGAUUUGAAACCCCUAGCUUGAAAGGUUGUUGUUAUGAAUUCUUAAAUUGAGUACUCGAUACUCACAACUUGAACUAUUGUAUAUUAAAACCUGUGAACCAGAUGACGAAUUUCUUAAGAAUAUGUAUGACAUAAACCUUAAUAUAUGGUUUGAAUUAAUGUAGAUAGGAGUUGUCCGCAAGAAAGUGUGUGAGCCAAAGAAUCCACCAUAACGUUUUAGACAUGGUUGCAAACCAUACAUAGAUGUAUGCCUGCAUAGCAUAAAAUGUCAUUAAAAAUGGUGUAAAUAUCUUAUUUAAGUAACUGGAAACUGGAAUUGAGUUGGAUGUUUUACGUUAGGUGGGUAGCUGAGUUUAUUAUUGCUCUUCCACCACUUUUUCCCAUUAAGGGAUCGUUGAAGGAUUAUCACAUAUACAAUUACGUAACCUCUGUUAGACACUCUUACCCAUUUCGAUGAAGGCUUGAUAUAGAACGUUAACCUUACUGAAACCAAAUGUUGUAAGGAGUUCAUUUAACUAUUUAAAAUGACAAUCAAAGAUUGCAUGUAGAAGAAAAGCGUGUAAACAUUUUUAAAAGAAUUAGCAAUCAGGUGAUAAAAAAACAGUCAAGCGAAGAGAAGGUGCAGUUUCCAAGGUUGUAUAAGUAACAUAUAUACAUGUACCAAGUAUCAACUUACACAAAAGGAAAUAUAAAAUAUGAUAAAAAUCUUUUACAAUAAAACUGAAGCCAAUGAGGUUGCAGAAGGAGGAGGCGAGGGAGGAGCUAGUGACAGCGAGGUCUCCAAGAUGAUCCACCAUCACCAUUGAGAUGUUCUCAAAGGUUAACUCGGUGUAUGACCACAAUCGCCAUAGGAGUGGUGAACUAGAUAGGCCGCUUGAGUUCUUCUAUGAAUGAUUGUAGCUUUGUGCGCGCAGGUCACUUUAUCAGAUCUGUCUACCGGAAGUAGUAACCUAUCCUUGGUACUGCUCUCUGCAUCUGCCAGCCUAGGCGGAGAGAGCGAGAUAGUGGAUAAAGAGAUGUGUUAAAACAUUAGAUUUGGGUUAUUUAUGUUGUUUAUGUUGUGUAACUUGCCUGCAAGACUGUUAGAGGAGCCGGGUAAUAGUGAAUAUACAAAUAUUUCAUCUUCUGAAUCAGAUGAAAUAUAAUAUAAAUUUGAGAACUUCUUACCUGCUCACAGUAAUCUGAGAAACCAAAAUAGAUUGCCUUCAACUGGGAGGUGUCUUCUUUAAAGGUACAAAGAGAAUUCUGUUCCAAACCGUUUUAAGUAAACUUCAAAAAGAUAGCGAUGAAAUAUCAAAUGUAUAAGUUGAAUUAAAGAGCUUUGUACCACCUCGGGUUUGAGAUCUCGGUGUACAACACCUUGGAGAUGACAAAAUGCAACCACAUUCAAUAUUUGUAUCGUAACAGUCUUUGCGUCCUCCUUCGUGUACUUCCCACCUCCGCACAUAAAACACAACCAAGUCCAUUAUAAAGUGAUCGAAACCAAAAAAUAAAAAAACAACAAUCAUACUUCUGAAAUUGACGGUCCAUCUACCUGAGAGUAUUCAAUCCAAAAUCUCCCCUCCUUCACAUAACGUAAAACAACAAACCACUUGUUAAGAUUCUCCCAAGCUGUAUCUGGAAUAAUGUCUGAGCUAAAAGAGAGUUUACUCCAUCACUGUAUAGACAUUAUCAUGAUCCCAUAUGCAUCAAGGAAACGAGGAAAGUUGUCAUGACCAGAGAAAGAUCCCAAUAUCUUCACUUCUCUCUCACAUCUUGAAUUGUCAUCUACACAACACAUUACAAACAAUAAAUCAAUUUGACACCAAACUGAAAUUGAAAAGACAUGACAUUACAUCUUUCAGAUCUCAUCACUACAAAGCACUUUUAUUUGCUUUGAAUAACUUUAAGAAGAAUGACGUUCAGAAAAGUAUGAGAAUAAACAGAGCAAGCAGCUGAGGAUAAGACCUUGAAAGUUUUCACUAUACCAGAAAGACGCAUCAUUUGAAGUUUAUCCAUUUCCAAGGUAUCAGUCUCCGCGGAUGAUUCAUUCUUCCCUUCUUGGGCAUCCUUUGAGCUUUCCAGAGAUUCCAGCCUAACUCCUCCUUUAUGCCGGUGAUCUAAAUUAGAAAAACAGAUCAAGAUACCUACCAAAAAUCUUCCCUUUCGGUUUCAUGGAGACCUUGGAACCCUCUUUUGGCAAGUUGAUCUCUCCAGAAACUCUUAGAACCGAAUCAACAGUUGCAUAAAACCUCACUGGUCUGAUCAACUCAAGCAGGUUUUGUGUAGUCUUUUCUUGAACAUUGUUAUUAUCUCUUUGAGCACACAUCCAAGGCAUUCUAUUAUAAACAGCCAUAGCUUUCGAGCUUGAACCCGCAACGUCUUUGGUAGUAUUAUCUCUUCAGCGAAACCUUGAACAUAGGAAACGACAAGAUCUCGACUCCUUCUCUCCAAGUUAUCUCUCUUUGACAUUAUCUUCAGCCGUAAUCAACUCGUCAGAGUCACCACCACUACUAUGAUAUGGAAUGGUUUCUUACGAAUUUGUCAAAUACAUCUCUACUGACAAGCUCAAGAACGAUAUAGAGCUUUGUUUUGCUCCCCAAAACAUGGCCAGCCCAACACCACAUGGGGAAGUUUACACGGUAAGAUUAUUAGCACAUAGAAAGUUGAAUAAGAUUAAAAAAUUCCAUAAGCUUCUUAUAUGGCUCAGUGAUUUCGACUACAUUUAUAUGUUUAAUCAGUUACAUUGUCAAUUUCUAUUUUAAGCCGUCCCCAUGGGCAACGCAAUAGUGUCCUGAGGGAGGGAAAAAAGCAUUAGUUUCAGGUUGUUUACAUACUCCUGCACAAGAACGUACGCCCAUUAUAUAUCUUCUCGAUCUUGCUCAUACCAAUAUAUUUUUCUUAGAUUUAAGAACCAAAUUAGAAAGAAAGAAAGGUACUCUAAUUUAAAACCAUAUACAUGCCACCAUAGUCGUGAUCAAAACCAUUAUAGAUUUUAAAAGGAAUGAAAAUACCCAGCAUUCUUCUGUUCCUAUUAACCAUUUUAGGAUUCAUAUUCUUAGGAAAAUGGCUCGGUGCAAACUCAGGAAAUGCCAUAGCUUCAUAACCCUGAUAAGAGCAUAACGACUAAUAGUAUUAAGGUAAACGAAACUCCACUAAGUAAAGAGGAGUUCUCUGUAAAAAAUGUCUCUGGAUAUUGAUUACCUUAUUGAUCCCUCUUUGUUCGGCAUGCCUCUGGAACCAACUUCCACUAUGCUGACCAUCUAGCUUCUUGUCACUUUUGAUCUUCACCUUCAACUUGAGUCUCCUAAUAAUAAUUAAAAAAAAACACUUCGUAAGAUCUAUUAUUGAGGAUUUAUUACCUUUUGAAAGAGGAACCAUGUUAGUGUUAUACCUUAACAGCCGCCGAAGAAAAUCCCCAUUUAGCAUGAGGCUCAUCUUCUGCGUCAUUCCUCUCUGCCUUUGCACCUGAGAGUCCGAAGCCUCUCCGUAAUCUGAUUACGAUUUAGAACCGUCUUCAAAAUAAAAAAAAAAAUUGGAAGGGAGACUUAAAACUGAGAAUGAUAUUGAAUUGGAAUUGAGAGUAACGAAGCCAUAAAUCUGGAUCUUAAGCGUUACCAGAGAAGCUUCUAGGAGGUGGGUAGAGGAAGAGUUGGCCAGAAACCCAGAAGACGAUAGAGGAUAGUAAGAGCAUCCGCACAUGGGGGUUCAUAAGAAUUUUUUAAUAUUUUUUUAGUGAAACCAUAAAUAGUGUUGAACCUCUAUUUAUUGUGUUCUUGCAUUAGUGAAUCUCAAGCAAGGAUUCAUAAAAAUAAAAUAUUAUUAUUUAUAUUUUUUUAAACUUUCAAUUAAUUAACAAUACAUGAAUAAAAUAUAAUAAUUUUUUAUAAUUUUUUAAAAAAAAUUAUUCAAUACAUUAAGAAUAGAUAACAUAAAAAUGACAUAAAAAUUUUAUUAAAUACAUUGAGAAUUCAAGAACAUACAAAGAUUAUUCAUACAAUAAUUGGCAUUAUUAAAAAUUAAAAAAAAUAUAUAUAUAAAAAUACAAAUUUAUAUUAAAUUUUUUAUAUAUUGAAAUUGGUUACAUAGUUAUGACAGGUAUAUCAAACUUAACUAAUUUUUUUAAAAACAAUUAAACCUACACCUAAAAUUCUAAACCCAAAGUUCUAUCUCCAACGUCACCGUCUUCUAGUCACAUACCGGAGCUUGGACCUUCUCCACUCUAAACACCUAAUGUCCUCGCCACUAAUGACUCACCCCUUUUGCCACCUUCUCCUCCAUCAAGCUUCUCUGCCUUGUCUACCUUCCUGUAACACAAUACACAAACUACAGAAUAUAUAUUAUAUAGAACGCAAAGAGUCAGAGGCAGAUGUGCAUGGUAAAUCGGACGACUUGUCUCAGGCAUUAAACAUCAUCUCUAACAAUGGAAGACAAAAAAGACAGCAUAUUACCUUGUGUAGUUGCAUGAUUCUAUCUCUCCCAACCGUAAGUGCACGCCUUGACACUUCGAUCAAAUGAACCAGAGUAGAGCUCUGCAGUUCUGUGUCUGAAACAUAGGGAAAAAACAGUGUUCCUGUGACCUGUAAAGGUCUGUAGACACAUAAUCAUAAAAGCUGAAACAGAUUGGACCUUAUGAACAUGGCGAUCAACUCCUCUAGUCGUCAAGUAACGACCAUCAGAGUUAACAGCUAAAGCAUCUACAAUUACAACAAACAGCAAUCAUGAAUACAAAAUGAAACCUUAAGAGCGUUCGAGAAUUUGGAAGUACCACUCUGAGCAAUGGUUCCAAGACAGACAGUCUAUAAGUUCUUCCUUUGUCACCACCAUCUCCAAACAAAGCAGGCUCUGUCACACUCAAGAACCUCAGCUUAUCAAAGCAUCACUUGCAUUACUGUAAACAUAUACAAAAUACACAUUCAAUCAAUUCUUGUGACUAUAUAAACUAUGAACUAUCAAAUCCAAAAAUCUGCUCACCUGCCAGUGAUAAAGUCUCAAACUUUCACAUUCAUAUCAAGUUCCCAUGACUAAAAAUCAAAACUUUAGUAGAAACGAACCUCAGCUUGGCACUCGAACUUCUCACCGGACCCUUCACCGCGAACCAAUUACAUAUCUUCUCGAGGUCCCAACUACAUGAAGCGCCGGUUCUCAGACCACCACCACUGCGAGGAAGAAACACACAAGUAGAUAUAUUGAUUUCAAUAAACAUACACAAGAAAUAAGGUCCAAUUUGUCAGACCACCACCAUUCUCCUCUGAUUGUUACAAAAGAGAAAUAAAAAACAUAGAAGAAUUGAGAUGAAAGGAGAAAGAAUUGAAUCUGAUGAAAUGAGGAGAGAGGAGAGAAGGGGACGAACAAUGGAAAGAGAUGGAGAGAGAGUGGAGGAAGCCAAAGCUAGACUUAUUACCGAACUCCAGCUUCUGUAAGAGACGAGGAGAGGAUGUGGAGAAGGAAAGAGAAGGCAGUGACUGAUUGACACGUGGUCUGAACCGCUUCNNNNNNNNNNNNNNNNNNNNNNNNNNNNNNNNNNNNNNNNNNNNNNNNNNNNNNNNNNNNACCGCUUCAUACGAGUUCACUACUAAGGAUCGGUUCAAUGAAUUAAAUUCAUUUUUCAUUUUUUUAAAUCAAUUCGGGCCUAGGAACUUGAGCCCAUGAACCCCAUUACAUCCUCUAAUGUGCCUGCUUUAAGCUUAAGUUUGGGCCUCUGAAAAGUGUAAUAAACCUUGCAAUAAAUAAAAAUUGGAGAUGCCACCUGUAAACAAUUUCCCUAUGCUUGAUGCUGAUGUGGCACAAGGAGGAGAGAGAAAAAUCUAUUUUAUUGUUAUAGAUAUCAAAAGCCUUGAUCACCCUGAAAAGACAUUAGAACUUGUUCUGCAGCAACCUGUUUUCUGUUCUAGAAAAUCAUUUGAUUCAUUUGUCUUCUAAGAAAAUAGCUUUGUUCUGAACUGUACUAAACAUAAACUAGUCACUGGGGAUUUGUUUUCUACCAUACGUUCCUUGAAAGACUUUAUUGUUAGGAAUUUUCAGAAACCAAAAUCACUUAGGGGGUGUAUUGAAUUUGGAAUUUUAGAGUAUUUUGGUUUUUCAUUAAAAUCCCCUGUUAUUCAACUAAUCAUUUCUAAUUUUUUUUCAAAUCAUGUGUUAUUGGAUAUGACAUUUAUCUAAAAUCUCUUAAAAUCACUUGUAAUCUACUGUUAUUCAAUUAACAAUUUACAAAAGUUAAAUCAAAUCUACUGUUAUUCAAUGAUAAACAAUUUUGAAAGGAAAAUUUUAUGAAAUGGAUUUGAAACCAACUUUUUUAUUAUUUUCAGUCAAAACUAUUGUCACACAAAUCCCACCAUUGUACCUGUUAUUUGGAAAGACCCAAAAUCAAAUAAAAAAUUGGCCACUUUGAAAGAGAUGACUGAUGAGAACUGAGAGAGAACAAGGAAGAGAGAUAUCAGAGAUGAAGCUUCCCAGAAAAGUACUAAACUUUCAAUUCCCUCUUGUUCCUGAAUCAAUUCCCAAGAUUCGAUUUUGGAGUCUCUCAAACCUAAAGGAAGCCCUUUGAUUGUUCGAUUCGAUUUCGUCUCGGCAUUUCGUUGGAUUCGAGAAACAUGUUUUGUGCUCUGAAGAAUCUGAGGUUGAGCUAAGGCACACGUCAAUUGAUUUGUUCCUCUGGUGUUCUAUUACAAGUCUCUUCCAGUUGAAUAACAGUGUUUUGGUUCUGUUUUUAAAAUCCCAUGUUAUACACAAGACAAAGAAGAUUUUGACAAGACCUUUUGAUCCUGAAGAGUAAGAAAGUCUAGUAAAGUUUAUUUGUUCUUUUCAUGUUCUACUUUAUGGUCAACUAAUGUUUGUGAGCUUGAAAACUAUGUAAGGUUUUUGAUCGUGACUCUCUUUGUUUCUCUAUUUUUUCUACAGCUUUGGUUCACCUAAAUAAGCUUUGCUUCAACUCUCAAAACUCAAAAGUUUGAGGAAGUAUUCUUCUAUGAGACUGCUUGCCAAGUAUGCAAGCUAAGGUAGGAGAUUAGAGCUUUGGUUCUGUCCUUCCACCAUAAAAGAGAGGAGAGCUCUGAAUAUAACGUAUGCAAUGCUGAUUUUUUAAUUUUUUUUUUUCGAUAAAUAUGUAUCUUGUUGAUAUCUUUAUGGGCUGCUCCUUAGAAAUUUGAAUAAUGGAUGAUGAUGGUAACGAAUGUGAUGCUCAAGAAAAAGGUGCAGAUGAGAAUAUGGAUGAUGAUGUUCAGAAUGGUACUCAAGAACAAGAAAGAGUGAAUGCUAAUAAUUGGAGAGCAAAUAUAGCAUCAAACAUGUGGACAGAUGCUAUGCAUAUGGGGUCUUGAUGCAGCAACAAUUUACUUUGUUUUUGGAACUUCUCUUUUCUGUUACGUUUUUAAAUAUAUAUUUCAUGUUGUCAUUUAUGAAUUUGAUUUUCGAUGAAAUUUUUUGAUCUAUUAUAUUUCCUUUUAGUAAGCUCUUGAGCUUUUUUUAAUAUCGUUGCAGCGAGUGAAUAAGAAGAAGUAGAAGACGAACUGGAAUAAGACGGAGAAAUAAGUGAUCACAUGGUGAAUUUUCUUAGGAAACACACUCUGUUUUUCUCGCAAACGAAGGAAGGAAGAUAAAAUAAUGAAACUGCGUUAAUGUUCUUAUUCUAUUGGAAAAAGGCAUGUUCUUAAAUAAUGGGACUUUGCAGAGUACUCUGAAAUUUAAGAUCAAAUGAUCUUGAGUACUCUGAAAUUUAAAAGAAAAACUCCCACCAAAAUUGUUUUUUUCCUUUUUCUAAAUCCCAUCAAUAUAAUGUGAUUUAGUCCAAAUCUCUCCAAACUCCAAUAUUUUUCAAAUCCACUCAAAGUUUUAAAAUCCACAGUUCAAUACACCCUCCUUAGAGCUGAAACCAAUUUUAUCUGUGAUUCUGUUUUUAAACUUGGUAUCUUGUGUUUUUAAUCUGAUAAACCUUGGCAUGUUUUGAGAUCAUUUCUUGAGAAUUGUGUUGUUUUAAGCUUUGAUGAUAUUCUUGUUUACAAUAAUUUCUUUGAUAAGCAUGCUGAGCCUUGGUUAAGUAAUUCUCGGUUUGAACUUGAUCUUUUGUGUUCUGUAUAUGAGGAACUUGUGCAUGUUCUGAAAUUGUUCUUUAAGAACCAUGUUAUCUCGUGCCUUGAUACCAUUCUUUAAGAACCAUGUUAUCUCGUGCUUUGAUACCAUUCUGGUAUACAAUACUUACUUUGAUAUGCACUUUGAUAUGCAUCAUCAAGGUCUGAAACAUUUGCAAUAUAUGGAAAGAAAGUUUGGUUUUUGAUAUGAACAAGGGCAUGUGUUGCACUGAUAAUUCUGGAUAUCUAGUCCCUGUUUUGAACAUCCAGGAACAACAGGAUGAUUCUCAAAGGAGAAAAACCAUGCUUAUCAGCCAGAGAUUUGGAGAUGGAAGCACUUUGAAAACUCUAAGGAAGUUUCUGUCCAAAACUUUACUUUGAUGUUGUUUUCAUGCUUAUUUUCUUGAUCAUUUGUCUCACUUCUUACUUGUUUCCUUUUGAUGUAGGAGAUACAUAUUUGAGGACAAAUCUUUUCAAAUGAGGAGGGGAUGAUGCAAGCAUGGUCGAGCUACAAGAUAAUUUGAAAUGGAUGCAACCCUGUGGAUGAAACUCUGUAGAUGCCGAACAGGUGGAUGCAGAAACUUGUGGAUACAAAUCUAUGGAUGGAACUGAGUGGAUGCAACAAUCAAGUGACUGUGAAGCUGACUUGGAGCUAAAUGGACUCGGUGAUACUCAGACUCGGGCCCAAUUGAUGAUGGACCAGACAUGACUUUCUCAGCCGAAACCAAUCAAGACACCGAUCCAUUCUGAUUGUCUAAGGGCCCAGUUACUAGAUCACAAACCAGAAGACUGAAUAAAUCAAUUGCUGCUUUGGUUUACUCUGAACUAGACGGAAAUCAAGCCAAGGAACCGAGCAAACUCUUCACUUACUCAGUCUUUGGACUUGUCUAAGUGUUAUUUCGAAAUCUAAGUCUUAUUACUUCUUAUUUUCGAUUUUAUUGAGCAUUAGGACCUUUCAACUUCUUUUCUUUCUUUGUUGCAACCUAAACUCUCUUUUGUUUCUGAAAAACCUAAUCACCUUUUUUAUCGAAACUUUCUCUGAAACUUGUGAUUCCUUUGUUCAGUUCUUGAGCAUUGAUUUCCUAGGAGAGUGAUCUCCAUAAGCACCUGUCUUGUUCACUAUUGGGGUUUCCCUCACGGACUAAGGCAUCAAGCAAGUGUUUGAUCAAUCCAUAGAUCUCACACUGAAGUUCAUCAACCAUCUCUACAUCUACCCACAGAUCCAUCAUCUCUUCAUAAUCAGAUCAGUGCUAGUAACCUGAUCCUUCAUCAAAUCGGUUCUGUUUUUGCUAGUAGCCUUCAGGAUCUUCACAACCUUAAUAAUCUGAUCCUCAAGAUCAUUCAAGGGACUGCAUCCUCAUCUGGAUUGCAUUAUAAGGUAUGGCAUAUGUGUGCCGGUGCAACGUGGUGGAGGUAUGUACAUCGCGGGUGUCGCAUCAUUUCUUGUUGGAUCAUGUGGAGAUCGUGUGAGGUGGCAUGAUUCAUCAUCGGAGCGGGCAUGCGGUGUGCCGGUGCGAAGUUAAUAAUGUGGUAGCACGGUCACAUGGAGACAGCGUGAUGUGGCGUGAUCGCUUGAAGGUGUGGAAUUCACAGAGACUGAGUGAGGUGGUGAGUUCUCACAAGACACCAUGAGAGGUGUGGAGAUAGCAUGAUGUGGGGUGUUCUCAUGUUGGCACAGUUAGGGUUUAUCUUUGUUUCUUGUCGAUUACACUCCCUUUAAUGGAUGUUCUAGCUAGAGCUUUUGUUAUGUUGUGUGGUGAAUGUUGAGUGAUGAUUUCAGGGCUCUUAGGGUUUCCCUCACUGAAAUUUUGUCGAAAUUCUCAUCCCUCAUCCUUCCCUUUCCAUUUGAGGUUCAGUUCAUGUCGGUGCGUUAUUGUCAAAAGCGUCAUGGGUUCCUACUUUGUUAAAAGGCAUAUUUUUUUGGCCCUUGAUUGGAGACAGACGUCCUGAUAUCGCUGACCAUUUCAGCUAUGCUGGUUCGGGGUGUUACACCUCUGGACCUAGCUUCUUUCGCAAGUUGGUUCGUUCGACCAUUCUCUCUCCGAGAAUAUGAUAUAGGUUCACGCUCUCAAAGUUAUCAUGUAGACUCUGGAAAUCAUCAAUCUUUGAAGCAAAAUAUGGUCAUUCCAUCGGGCUCGUAGUCAUAUCUAAUAGGUCUGAGCAGUCCAUUUUGAAGCAAAUCGAUGAAAUCCUCUUGUCUACCAUACAUGACACUGUGCAAAGUAAUUCCUUCAUCUCAACGUGUAAAGUCAUGUUUAAUUUUGAAUUUCUUUUUAAAUAUACUUUAAUGAUGUAGAUAGUAAAAUCAAUUGAUUAAAAGAAAUUCCAAUGUAUCAUCUUUAUAUAGGAGAAGUUGUAACAAAACAUAAUAGUAAAUUUCCCGAAUUUCAAUUCAGAGCCAGCACUAAUUUUAGCGAUGAAUUUGAGAAUUUUCCUGUUUAGUCUUCAUAAUUGUACGUACAUGCGCAUACACACGCCUGUAUAUUCUCCCUGACGUCAAUUUUCUCUCAAACUUAAACAAAAACAUCUAAUAGAAAAUCCUAAGCAAUUAUCAAAAAUACCUAAAAAUCAAUAUGAAAACAUGGUCCAACAAAUCUAACUACAGUUUUUAUGGAUUACCCUACAAAAGAUUUGCCUAAUUAGAGACCUCUCUCUCUCUAUAUAUAUAUAUAUAUAUAUAUAUGUGUGUGUGUUUGAGGUUUUGUAUCACCAAGCAACACAACGGUUCUUUGGAAAGAAAAAAAUUCACAAUGUGGUCAUCCAGUUUUGCUAUCUUUUGUCUUUUUUCACUUGUUAGUCUUCAAGAAUGUAUGUGUAUGCAAAUAUAGUUAGGUUUUGUUCAUCACUUAUCAUCAGUUACCAUAAAUAUCAUAACCAUAUCCUCUAUAAAUUUUCUGAUUUUUUUCUUUCUUACAUAGGUACAAACGUGAAACGUAUUGAGAUAAGCAAGUUAAAUUUUCCGCUGUGCUCGGAAUCUACUUGUCCUUCUAAAGAUAGAGAAGAUUGUUUCCUAUUAUUUUCUUGUAAGAAAAUAGAAAAAUGUUAUUGCUGCAACAACGGACAUAAUAAAUACUGCUCGUCAAACAAAGCACAUUGUGAGAGACGCUGUAAGCACAGAGCUUAACCCAACAUCUCCUUUAAAAUUUUCAGAAAUUUGAAGAGCGCAUAUGUAUGUAUGUGUGUGUGUUUACGAUUUUAUUGUACCCUGAAUAAUACGAAUAUAGGUGUUUCCGACGAGUAUUUCAAGCACCUAGAAGAAUCAUUUUUAAUUUCUCUUUGUGCCACCUUUUUUUCCUCAAAGACCGAUUAUUCGGAACAUUUUUUUCUCUAAUAAAAUUCACUUCUAAAUUACUAUUUAUGGGAGAUUAAAAACAAUACUUAUACUGAUAGGAAAUUACAACAAUAAUUAUCGUUAGUCAUCGUAAAAAUAUUAGAUUUUCACCCUGCCAUAAGAAAAAAGUUUCCUUUAUACUUUGAAUAUUAAACUUUAAAUGUUUCACCUCCUGAAAUUGUUCAUCACAUAUAGUGGAUCCUAAAAUCCACAUAUGGAAUUUGGUAGUGUUUGUAAUUGUAAAUCAGGGAAGAAGAAAUUGUGGACGACAAUAUAUUUAGAAUACAAUAGUGUAAUCAGACUCUGGUUUACAUCAAUGGAUUUUAUGUUGAUGUUUAAGGGGUUAGAAAGUGUAUCACUACGAGGGGAGGGGGUAAAGAUCGCAUAAGAAGAUAGCGUUCUAGUCGAGAAUGCUAUCUUUGACAUAACUCAUAAUUUAAGAUAGCGUUUUUUUACUUCGAUGCUAUAAAAAGCCGCAUAUAUAAUAUCAUUGUACAUUAAAACGCUAUCUUUACUGAGGCGAAAAAUGAUUGAUUUUCUCUCUUACUCUCAUUUCAUUUUCCCUCUCAUUUUAUUCUUUAAAUAUUUACAUAUAAAAAAAGAAAAUUUUCUAUUGGUUGAAAGUAAUACACAAAGAUUGCAAUCUCUACCCUUAAUUGUUUUUAAUCCAAAGGUGGAGAUUGUGUUUUAAUUUGUCCUCUCCUUUUGACUUCUGAAACACAACGACAGAGAGAAGUGAGAUGAGACAGAGAGAGAUGAGAGAUUGCAAGGAAAGAAGACAGAGACCGGCCUGAGUUCGUCGCCUUUGUCACCGUCUGAGUUCGUCGCCGUCGACCUGUCUCUACUCCUCAUCAGUUUGUUCUUCCGGAAUAUGUACUCCUCCUGAGAACGCCCCUCUCUCCUCUGCAGCCGAAUCCGAAACCAACACUCGUCUCACUCUCAAUCUCCUCUCAUGUCGGCUCCUUAGGU
rnacentral:lncRNA from 1 species